CCCAGUAACUGCGAGUGAAGAGGGAAGAGCUCAUCAUUGGAAUCUGGCAGCGUUGCGCUGUCCGAGUUGUAGAUGAGAAGAGUAGGCCAUCUGGACUGCGUGGUGUCCAAGUACAAUAGGCCGUCAGUGGGACAUCAUAGAGGGUGACAAUCCCGUCCUUGACACCAACGUACGAGUCCAUUACGAUGCCUAUCUCAGAGAGUCGAGCAGUUUGGGAUUUGCUGCUUAAACAUGGGAGGUAGAUUCCUUCUAAAGCUAAAUACAGGCAAGAGACCGAUAGAGAACAAGUACCGCAAGGGAAAGAUGAAAUAGAACUCUGUGAAGGGAGUCAAAAAGACGUGAAAUUGUUGCGAGAGAAGCGAUUCAAGUCAGCGUAGCUAGGCCCAUCAAGCCUUGCUUUGGACUAGCUUUGCCAGCGGUCUUGUCCUUUAGAGAGACUUGACUUUUGACAUGCCCUGCCCGGUCUAACGGGCAGACCUCCCUCUGGGAGGCCAGUGGCAUGGCUGGUGGAAUGGCUUGCAAUCGACCCGUCUUGAAACACGGACCAAGGAGUCUAACAUGUGUGCGAGUAUAAGGGUGGCAAACCCGUAUGCGCAAAGAAAGUGAUAGCCUUUUAUGGCUGAGAAUGGCCUGAUGACCAGACAAGCAAUAUUAUGUUCCUCGUACGGUCAUUGCCCAAGUCCCGUGGUCAGAUCCCAUGGACAUGGAGUUAGAGCAUACAUGCUAGGACCCGAAAGAUGGUGAACUAUGCCUGGACAAAGCGAAGCCAAAGGAAACUCUGGUGGAGGCUUGUAGCGAUUCUGACGUGCAAAUCGAUCGUCUGAUCUGGGUAUAGGGGCGAAAGACU
rnacentral:rRNA from 1 species